CUGGGAUGGAACCCAGGGCUUUGCAGGUGAUGGGCAGGUGUCCACCCACUGAGCCUUUUCAUUUUCCUUUGAGACAGGUCUCACUAAAUUGCCUGGGCUGCCUUUGAACUCGCCACCCUUUCCCUCCUGAGUGGCCACCACUGACUUCCUAACCCGUGGCCUUGCCCUGAGACUCCCCAGUCUGAUGGAGGAGCCGCGACCCUCUCUCUGAGGCCCCCAGUGUGAAGGCAGAAACGGUGGCUGCUUUCCCGGCUGGCGGUCUGGCGGAGGAGGUGCAGGGAGGGGGGUCCCAUCCGGGUGGUCCCAGGUCCGUCCCUCACUCUCAGCCAGCCUUGGCCAAGGAGCCUGCGCCCGUCAAGUCCGUGACAGUGCGGGUGGCGCGGGGUCGAGGGGCUGGGGUGGG
rnacentral:lncRNA from 1 species